ACGCUUUGUUUUUAUUGAUAUGAAGAGCUUGCUCUGAUUUGAUUCCCUUUGACAAAGAGUGGCGAACGGGUGAGUAACACGUGGGUACCCUACCUCUUAGCAGGGGAUAACUUUUGGAAACAAGUGCUAAUACCGUAUAACACUAACAACCGCAUGGUUGUUAGUUGAAAGAUGGUUCUGCUAUCACUAAGAGAUGGACCCGCGGUGCAUUAGCUAGUUGGUAAGGUAAUGGCUUACCAAGGCGAUGAUGCGUAGCCGAGUUGAGAGACUGAUCGGCCACAAUGGGACUGAGACACGGCCCAUACUCCUACGGGAGGCAGCAGUAGGGAAUCUUCCACAAUGGGCGCAAGCCUGAUGGAGCAACGCCGCGUGUGUGAUGAAGGGUUUCGGCUCGUAAAACACUGUUAUAAGAGAAGAACGACAUUGAGAGUAACUGUUCAGUGUGUGACGGUAUCUUAUCAGAAAGGAACGGCUAAAUACGUGCCAGCAGCCGCGGUAAUACGUAUGUUCCAAGCGUUAUCCGGAUUUAUUGGGCGUAAAGCGAGCGCAGACGGUUAUUUAAGUCUGAAGUGAAAGCCCUCAGCUCAACUGAGGAAGGGCUUUGGAAACUGGAUAACUUGAGUGCAGUAGAGGAAAGUGGAACUCCAUGUGUAGCGGUGAAAUGCGUAGAUAUAUGGAAGAACACCGGUGGCGAAAGCGGCUUUCUGGACUGUAACUGACGUUGAGGCUCGAAAGUGUGGGUAGCAAACAGGAUUAGAUACCCUGGUAGUCCACACCGUAAAACGAUGAGUGCUAGAUGUUCGAGGGUUUCCGCCCUUGAGUGUCGCAGCUAACGCAUUAAGCACUCCGCCUGGGGA
rnacentral:rRNA from 1 species